rnacentral:rRNA from 1 species
AUUGAACGCUGGCGGCAGGCCUAACACAUGCCAGUCGAGCGGAUGAAGGGAGCUUGCUCCUGGAUUCAGCGGCGGACGGGGGCGUAAUCCCUAGGAAUCUGCCUCGUAGAGGGUGAUAACGUCCGGAAACGCACGCUAAUACCACAUACGUCCUGAGGGAGAAAGGGAGGGAUCUUCGGUCCUCACGCUUUCAGAUGAGCCUAGGUCGGAUUAGCUAGUUGCUGGGGUAAACGCCUACUAAGGCAACGAUCCGUAACUGGACUGAGAGGAUGACCAGUCACACUGGAACUUAGACACGGUACAGUCUCCUACGGGAGGCAGCAGUGGGUAAUAAUGGACAAUGGGCGAAAGCCUGAUGCAGCCAUGCCGCGUGUGUGAAGAAGGUCUUCGGAUUGUAAAGCACUUUAAGUUGGGAGGAAGGGCAGUAAGUUAAUACCUUGGUGUUUUGACGUUACCCACAGAAUAAGCACCGGCUAACUACGUG